AAGUCUUUCUAGCUAUAUACCCUAGAAAGAAAUACAUAGUACACAUAAAUUAAUGAAAAUAUAAAAGAAAGAAUAUUAAAUAGCAUGGAGAACACGGACCCAACAUUCCUGGCUGAAUCAUUUUUUAAAGUAGGCAUGAUUACUUGCAUAAGUAGCAAACUCAAAAAAAGAAUUAACUUUCGAAAGAAUCAAUAAUAGGGCUUAACGGGGAUGUGCUGCAGUAGUUCCGAUUAUAAUAAACUAAGCCUGAGCUGGAUUCUAAAGGGCUAGAGCCAUGUUCAACACGCUCAACGUUCGCAACGAAAAGAAUGUGAUCUUGUACUUGAUAAGAAUGAAUUAUUGAACAGUGCAAGAGCCCUAAGCUAUCAACAAGACAUGGAAGACCUUCUUUACUGAGACUGACAUCGAUUGGAUGAAGGGGAUGCAGAAGAGAAUGUGAAGAUGUUUGCUGUGUACGAUUGCUUCCUGGAAGAUCCUCUACAGAAGUAGAGUUUUUCUCUGAAUUCAUUAAAGGAUUGAUUUGAUGUUUUUGUUUGGCAAGUAAGGAAGCCCAUUCGGAAUGCUUCUUUAUUGAACUAGACAGAAGAUGAACGAUUACUCGAUUGGAUUGUUGGAUGGCGUUUGCUGUACGAGAGGGAAUUUUUAUAUUGAAUGAAAUUACUGGAUUUGGCGUCAGAGAAACUGGCGUAAAGGAUGAGGCCGUCAUGCCAGCACGAUGACCAUCAGCAAAACCACUCGUGAUGAUGACAACUGGUUGUGCGAACCUACGCAUUAAAAGGCGAAAAGCAUUAACGUUAUCAUGGGAAGCGGUAGAAUAGCGGUUGAAAUUUGAAAAAGGCAAAUGUCGAAGUAUGUAGCAGGGCAAUGAUGAGGAAGAAGUAAAACAAUGAGUAAAUCGGAUUGACAUCAAAAUAUGUAAACAAUUAUUAAGUAUAUAAUAUUAUUUGACUUAAGCACGGAAAAAAGGCAAACGACCAGAAAGCGGUAGUAUAGUCAUGAACUCCUUUAGUGUUGGUAAUAAAAUCGACCAACUGUGGACAGCGAAUAUAAAAGUGACUCGUGCUACUCAAAUUGAGGAAAUAAAACCCCUUUAUUUGAUUAUUCAAUACAACCUUUCAAACUUUUAUGUUCAAUAAAGAUAUAAAGAAAGUUGGACGAGGUUGUAGGACAGUGGUGUACUUUGUGAUACUGUUUACCAUUCCAUUUUCAUUGGGAAAUUAUACUCGUGCAUAGAAGCUAAUGUGAAACUUGAAAAAAUAAACAUUUAAGGGAAACAUGAGAGAAGGAUUCAAAUUUCUAUUCUUUUACCGAAAAAUUGUUGUUUACAAGAUAGAUGCAAAUCAAUCAGCGAAUCUGAUGAGUAGUGGUAGAGAAAUGAAUUAAUUAUAGGAAAACGAAAAAAUUUAAUUUUAAAGCCUGAUUCAUCUAUUCAUUGACUAUCAAAAUAUGUAGCAACAGAAUAACUAAAGAUA